GGGAGUACGCACGCAAGUGUGAAACUCAAAGGAAUUGACGGGGGCCCGCACAAGCGGUGGAGUAUGUGGUUUAAUUCGAUGCGACGCGAAGAACCUUACCAGGAUUUGACAUCCUGCGAACCUCUUAGAAAUUUGAGGGUGCCUUCGGGAACGCAGUGACAGGUGGUGCAUGGCUGUCGUCAGCUCGUGUCGUGAGAUGUUGGGUUAAGUCCCGCAACGAGCGCAACCCACGUUUUUAGUUGCCAGCAUUUAGUUGGGCACUCUAGAAAGACCGCCGGUGAUAAACCGGAGGAAGGUGUGGAUGACGUCAAGUCAUCAUGCCCCUUACAUCCUGGGCUACACACGUACUACAAUGCUACGGACAAAGGGCAGCAAACUCGCGAGGGCAAGCAAAUCCCAUAAACCGUGGCUCAGUUCAGAUCGUAGGCUGCAACUCGCCUACGUGAAGCAGGAAUCGCUAGUAAUCGCAGGUCAGCAUACUGCGGUGAAUACGUUCCCGGGCCUUGUACACACCGCCCGUCACACCAUGGAAGUCGGCCAUGCCCGAAGUCGUUACUCCAACCCUUGUGGAGGAGGACGCCGAAGGUGGGGCUGAUGACUGGGGUGAAGUCGUAACAAGGUA
rnacentral:rRNA from 1 species